rnacentral:lncRNA from 1 species
GAAAACAGGAGGAGUGAACUUCGAGACUGGAAUAAGGUUAGAGAAGAAAAAACACUUCAACCUACGUAUUAAUGGAGUCAGAAAAGUAUAGGGGAAAGAGUCAGCAAGACCCAUGUUCAAAAUUCACUGAGCCUCAGUUUCCUCAUCUGUAAAAUGGGAAUAACCUGCUGUAGCACAGUUGUGAACAUAGUAGUCCAAAGACUUCAAAAUAAAACAUUUCAAUCGACAGGGGCAGUAGUGGUAAGCCACGGAGUGGUGAAAUGGAGAUAUAAUUAGAGCUGAAGACUGACGAGUCAGGUGAAAAUAUUCCAUUAGCAAAGGACAACACGACCAGAUUUUCUUCCAAAGUGGCACCAUUCUAAAAUGUCCUUAUUGUAUCUGUGCCUG